GGCGGCGUGCCUAACACAUGCAAGUCGAACGAAGCUCCUUGAAGUGCGACUUCGGUCAAACGGAGAGGAAGACUUAGUGGCGAACGGGUGAGUAACGCGUGAGGAACCUGCCUUUCAGUGGGGGACAACAGUUGGAAACGACUGCUAAUACCGCAUAACAUACGGAGACCGCAUGAUUUCCGUAUCAAAGAUUUAUUGCUGAAAGAUGGCCUCGCGUCUGAUUAGAUAGUUGGUGAGGUAACGGCUCACCAAGUCGACGAUCAGUAGCCGGACUGAGAGGUUGAACGGCCACAUUGGGACUGAGACACGGCCCAGACUCCUACGGGAGGCAGCAGUGGGGAAUAUUGCACAAUGGAGGAAACUCUGAUGCAGCGACGCCGCGUGAGUGAAGAAGUAUUUCGGUAUGUAAAGCUCUAUCAGCAGGGAAGAUAGUGACGGUACCUGACUAAGAAGCUCCGGCUAAAUACGUGCCAGCAGCCGCGGUAAUACGUAUGGAGCAAGCGUUAUCCGGACUUACUGGGUGUAAAGGGAGUGUAGGUGGCAUCGCAAGUCAGAAGUGAAAGCCCGGGGCUCAACCCCGGGACUGCUUUUGAAACUGCGGAGCUAGAGUGCAGGAGGGGUGAGUGGAAUUCCUAGUGUAGCGGUGAAAUGCGUAGAUAUUAGGAGGAACACCAGUGGCGAAGGCGGCUCACUGGACUGUAACUGACACUGAGACUCGAAAGCGUGGGGAGCAAACAGAAUUAGAUACCCUGGUAGUCCACGCCGUAAACGAUGAGUGCUAGGUGUGGGGGGACUGACCCCCUCCGUGCCGGAGUUAACACAAUAAGCACUCCACCUGGGGGAGUACGGCCGCAAGGUUGAAACUCAAAGGAAUUGACGGGGGCCCGCACAAGCAGUGGAUUAUGUGGUUUAAUUCGAAGCAACGCGAAGAACCUUACCAGGGCUUGACAUCCAACGAACCUGAUGGAAACAUUGGGGUGCCCUUCGGGGAGCGUUGAGACAGGUGGUGCAUGGUUGUCGUCAGCUCGUGUCGUGAGAUGUUGGGUUAAGUCCCAUAACGAGCGCAACCCUUGUUGCUAGUUGCUACGCAAGAGCACUCUAGCGAGACUGCCGUUGACAAAACGGAGGAAGGUGGGGACGACGUCAAAUCAUCAUGCCCCUUAUAUCCUGGGCUACACACGUAAUACAAUGGCGGUCAACAGAGGGAAGCAAAGCCGCGAGGCAGAGCGAACCCCUAAAAGCCGUCUCAGUUCGGAUCGUAGGCUGCAACUCGCCUGCGUGAAGUCGGAAUCGCUAGUAAUCGCGGAUCAGCAUGCCGCGGUGAAUACGUUCCCGGGCCUUGCACACACCGCCCGUCA
rnacentral:rRNA from 1 species